CCUACGGGAGGCAGCAGUGGGGAAUAUUGGGCAAUGGGCGCAAGCCUGACCCAGCAACGCCGCGUGAAGGAAGAAGGCUUUCGGGUUGUAAACUUCUUUUCUCAGGGACGAAGAAAGUGACGGUACCUGAGGAAUAAGCCACGGCUAACUACGUGCCAGCAGCCGCGGUAAUACGUAGGUGGCAAGCGUUAUCCGGAUUUACUGGGUGUAAAGGGCGUGUAGGCGGGGAAGCAAGUCAGAUGUGAAAACCACGGGCUCAACCUGUGGCCUGCAUUUGAAACUGUUUUUCUUGAGUACUGGGGAGGCAGACGGAAUUUCUAGUGUAGCGGUGAAAUGCGUAGAUAUUAGAAGGAACACCAGUGGCGAAGGCGGUCUGCUGGACAGCAACUGACGCUGAGGCGCGAAAGCGUGGGGAGCAAUCAGGAUUAGAUACCCUGGUAGUC
rnacentral:rRNA from 1 species